UACGUAGGGUGCGAGCGUUGUCCGGAAUUAUUGGGCGUAAAGAGCUCGUAGGCGGCUUGUCGCGUCGGAUGUGAAAGCCCGGGGGCUUAACCCCCGGGUCUGCAUUCGAUACGGGCAGGCUAGAGUUCGGUAGGGGAGAUCGGAAUUCCUGGUGUAGCGGUGAAAUGCGCAGAUAUCAGGAGGAACACCGGUGGCGAAGGCGGGUCUCUGGGCCGAUACUGACGCUGAGGAGCGAAAGCGUGGGGAGCGAACAGG
rnacentral:rRNA from 1 species